rnacentral:rRNA from 1 species
UCACCAGAUAAGACAGCUGAAUGAUAGUCGGGCUGAAGACUCACUUGACUAGCUGAGAGGAGGUGCAUGGCCGUCGUCAGUUCGUACUGUGAAGCAUCCUGUUAAGUCAGGCAACGAGCGAGACCCACGCCAACAGUUGCCAGCUCGUCCUCCGGGAUGGUGGGGACACUGUUGGGACCGCCUCUGCUAAAGAGGAGGAAGGAAUGGGCAACGGUAGGUCAGCAUGCCCCGAAUUAUCUGGGCUACACGCGGGCUACAAUGGGUGGGACAAUGGGUAUCGACACCGAAAGGUGAAGGCAAUCUCCUAAACCCAUCCGUAGUUCGGAUUGUGGGCUGCAACUCGCCCACAUGAAGCUGGAAUCUGUAGUAAUCGUGUCUCAAAAUGGCACGGUGAAUAUGUCCCUGCUCCUU